GACGAAGGGGGCAAGCGUUGUUCGGAAUUACUGGGCGUAAAGCGCGUGUAGGUGGUUGUCAUAGUCAGGUGUGAAAGCCUUGAGCUCAACUCAAGAAAUGCACUUGAUACUGGGCAGCUAGAGGACCGGAGAGGAUAGUGGAAUUCCCAGUGUAGUGGUGAAAUACGUAGAGAUUGGGAAGAACACCAGUGGCGAAGGCGGCUAUCUGGACGGUUUCUGACACUAAGACUCGAAAGCGUGGGGAGCAAACAGG
rnacentral:rRNA from 1 species